rnacentral:rRNA from 1 species
UCCAGUGAGUGGAGCGAAGGGGACACACCCGUUCCCAUGCCGACCACGGCCGUUAAGCCCUUCCGCGCCGAUGGUACUGCGCGGGUUGCCGCGUGGGAGAGUAGGUCCUCGCUGGAU